CGUAGGUGGCGAGCGUUGUCCGGAAUUACUGGGUGUAAAGGGCGUGUAGGCGGGAAGAUAAGUCAGAUGUGAAAUUCCGGGGCUCAACCCCGGCACUGCAUCUGAAACUAUUUUCUUGAGUGCUGGAGAGGAAAGCGGAAUUCCUAGUGUAGCGGUGAAAUGCGUAGAUAUUAGGAGGAACACCAGUGGCGAAGGCGGCUUUCUGGACAGCAACUGACGCUGAGGCGCGAAAGCGUGGGGAGCAAACAGGAUUAGAUACCCUGGUAGUCCACGCUGUAAACGAUGGAUACUAGGUGUAGGAGGUACUCGACCCCUUCUGUGCCGCAGUUAACACAAUAAGUAUCCCACCUGGGGAGUACGGCCGCAAGGUUG
rnacentral:rRNA from 1 species